rnacentral:ncRNA from 1 species
GAUUUAUAAAGAAGCGUGGAGAGACAGGCUCUAAGAAGCGCUAGCAACCUAACUACCGUAGUUAAGGUGCUAAUUCCUGAGCUCGGCAGGGUGCCGGGCGAAUAUAAAUU